UACGAGGGGGCAAGCGUUGUUCGGAAUUAUUGGGCGUAAAGGGUGCGUAGGCGGUUUGGUAAGUCUGAUGUGAAAUCUAUGGGCUCAACUCAUAGUCUGCAUCGGAAACUGCCGGGCUUGAGUGUGGGAGAGGUGAGUGGAAUUCCUGGUGUAGCGGUGAAAUGCGUAGAUAUCAGGAGGAACACCUGUGGCGAAAGCGGCUCACUGGACCAUAACUGACGCUGAUGCACGAAAGCUGGGGGAGCAAACAGG
rnacentral:rRNA from 1 species